AACGAACGCUGGCGGCAUGCCUAACACAUGCAAGUCGUACGAGAAAGUCCUUCGGGAUGAGUAGAGUGGCGCACGGGUGAGUAAUACAUGGGAACGCACCUUCAGGUCUGGGAUAACCAGGGGAAACUCUGGCUAAGUACCGGAUGGUCUCGCAAGAGUAAAGAUGGCCUCUACUUGUAAGCUAUCACCUGUUGAUCGGCCCAUGCCCCAUUAGCUAGUUGGUGAGGUAAUGGCUCACCAAGGCAACAUGGGUAGCUGGUUUGAGAGAACGACCAAGCCACACUGGAACUGAGACACGGUCCAGACUCCUACGGGAGGCAGCAGUGGGGAAUCUUGCGCAAUGGGCGAAGGCCUGACGCAGCAAUGCCGCGUGAGUGAAGAAGGCCUUCGGGUCGUAAAGCUCUUUCGACUGGGAAGAAGGGUGCAUGAGUAAAACAAUUCAUGCAUUUGACGGUACCUAAAGAAGAAGCACCGGCUAAUCUCGUGCCAGCAGCCGCGGUAAUACGAGAGGUGCAAGCGUUGUUCGGAAUUAUUGGGCGUAAAGCGCACGUAGGCGGGUUCGUAUGUCGAUUGUGAAAAGCCCCGGCUCAACCUGGGAAUUGCAGUCGAAACUGCGAAUCUUGAAUACCUGAGAGGGUGGGAGAAUUCCUGGUGGAGUAGUGAAAUACGUAGAGAUCAGGAGGAAUACCGGAGGCGAAGGCGCCUGCCUGGCAGUGUAUUGACGCUGAGGUGCGAAAAGCGUGGGGGAGCAAAACAGGAUUAGAUACCCUGGUAG
rnacentral:rRNA from 1 species